AGGAGAAUCUGACCGUUGCAAGGCCACCAGAAGUAUCAGCUGCCGAAGGUGCAGGUUUGCCUGUUGCUGGUCUUACAGCUCACCAGGCACUCACCCAGUCGGCUGGGGUCAAGCUUGAUGUAAGUGGCCAGCAAGUAAACCUCUUGAUUACUGCUGCUUCAGGUGGUGUAGGUCAAUAUGCAGUUCAACUAGCAAAGCUUGGAAACACCCAUGUGACAGCCACUUGUGGGGCUCGCAAUCUGGAUUUUGUCAAAAGCCUCGGAGCAGAUGAGGUUCUUGACUACAAAACUCCCGAUGGUGCAGCUCUAAAAAGCCCUUCGGGUCGCAAAUAUGAUGCAGUGAUCCACUGUGCAAUGGGCAUUCCUUGGUCUACCUUUGAACCUAAUCUAAGUUCAAACGGGAAGGUAAUCGAUAUAACCCCGGGUCCUAGUGCUCUGCUAACUUUUGCUAUGAAAAAGCUUACCUUCUCAAAGAAGAACCUGGUACCACUGCUAUUGUCACCUAAGAAGGAGAACCUUGAAUAUCUCGUUAACUUAGUGAAAGAUAAGAAGCUUAAGACGGUAAUUGAUUCAAAGCAUCCCUUAAGUAAGGCUGAAGAAGCAUGGGCUAAGAGCAUUGAUGGCCAUGCCACUGGUAAGAUCAUUGUGGAGCCUUAAUCUAUGAAAUAUUACUUUAUACUUACUACAGGGAUGCUUGAAGGACAUAUUGCUUGUUUGUAUAAUUAUGAUUUUUUUGCACUUUGAAAUUUAUGUUUAUGGAAUGUUUGGUUAAUAUAUUGCAAAAUUUUCUUAACGUGUUGUAAGCUUCGAAUUCACAAAUUUAACUCUGCUUUCAUGUGGCUCCUACAUCUCCUUGCUUUUCUUGCUUGAUAAUUUGAACAAUGAAAUGUUGUUGGAAGUUGGACCAUCUAGUGUUUUUUAUUUCCCAGUUAAUGGUUAUUUUUCCUUGUAAUAUCAUUUUCAAGGUUUAAAUUUGCAAUAUUUCUUUGAUAGUGUAGUGUCUCUUAUCAUUACAUUUAAUACUUGUUGGUAUUUGUAUACUUUUUUAUAUUCCAAUUUUUUUUAAAUUAAAAUUUUGCUUUAUCAAUAUUUAUGAUAUUAAAAUAUUUGAAAGUUUAAUUUUGUCAAUUUUAUUUAGUUCUAAAAUAUUUAAAAAUGAUUAAAUUUUUUUUAUUGUAACACAUUAAUUUUGAUUUUUAUCGUUGUCAAUUAAAUUGAUCUUGUGACAUUAAAUUAUUCAUCAGUUAAAAUUAUAUCUUUGUAGAGUUUUUAAAAAUAAUAUAUGGAAUAAUUAUUGUUUAAGUACAUAUUGUACAUCUGUUACCUUCUCAUCAGUUUGUACUGAUGAUUAAGAAUCAUGCAAUCUAUGGUUGAUGUAUGCGAUUCAAUCAAAAAUCUAUCAUCAUAGUUCAUGCAUUGACUAAUCAUUUCAACUGAUUUUUUUAGCCUUGACUAUAAUAAUUUAUUGGUCAAAUUUUACUUAUUUGUACUUGUAGUAUGCGUAAGGUAUGAGUCUAAUUUUUAUAAUUUAAUUUAUAAAAUUUUUGAAUUGAUUUGUUUUAGUUAUUAUGAUAAUAAUUAAAUUUAUUUCAAUUAAAUUUUAUUUUAAUUUUAUAUUAUGUUUAAAGUUGUAAAAUUUAUCCAUAUUCUCUUAUUUAGUAAAUCUUAGUUUUUCAAAAUUUGAAAUUUUAGUCUUGACGUAAAUGAUAAUCACUAAAUCUAUUAAUUGAUUUUUAUGAGUGAUAUGUUAAAAUAACAAGUUAACAUUGACAUAAUAUAUUUACCGCAUAAAAUUUUAAAAAUAAUAUAACUUAGUUUAACCAUUAUUAUUUAGUUAAAAUUUUAAAAAAUAAAUAUUCAAAAUCAAACAAGUUAAAGUAAAAAACUAAACACACAACUUUUAUAUAUAUAGUACAAUAAUAAAUAGUAUAAAUAAAUUUAAUCUAUUAACAAUUAUUAGAUUUCGUCAUAAGGGUGAAAAAUGUAUGUAAUAAAUAUAAUAACAAAAAAUAGUUUUGGAUGAAGUGAUAAAGUUAAAAGAUUAAAAAUCAUAAUGUUUUGAGUUUAAAUCCCAUUAUCAUGGCUAUCUAAUUUUUUAGAUUUUAUAUGUAAAAGGAUAAAAUUACCUUUAAAAUUAUAUUUAGUAUUGAUUUAAAUGAGAAGUUUUUGAAAUAUUGACAGAUGUAGUGUAGAGCAGGUUGAGCUUUGGGCGAUUUAUGAUGGACUCCUUCUGACGUGGGUGUUAAUUGGGCUAAUAUUAUUGUCGAUAAGAAUUGCGCUCAAGCUGUGGAAGCCAUUUUAGAUAAAUCUUCUGGGCAUUUGAACAGGGAUUUGGUCUUGAGAAUCCAGGAGUUAUGUAGGAGAUAAUGGUAGGUGAUCAUACAACAAACUCUUAAAAAAGCCAAUGUAGCUGUGCUUACACUAGUUAGGAUGAUGAGAGCUUUCCCUUAUGGUCUGAUAGCGUUUACGGAGACUUCGACAGUGGUCGUGGAGCAAUUACGAUUGAAUGUUCGGCUUAUGUGUGAUGAUAUUAGAAUAAUUUUAUAAUUGCUUCCAUUUUUUUAUCUAAAAAAAUAAGAAGUUUUUAAUAAAUUCAUUAUUGAGUUGUGACUCAAUUGAAAAUGAUAUUAAUUUAAUAAAAGACUUAAAUAUGAUAAUAAACAUUUAAAUAUGAUAAUAGAUAAAUAUUUUUUAAAUAUGAAAUAAAUAAUACAACUUUAGCAGCUACCAAAUUCAACAUUUCAAGAGAUUUCUUGCAAAAUCAUCCAGGGUAUAUCCGUCAAAUUAACAAUGUGGUCCCCAUUUGUUUAUAUUGUUAUGGCUAGCGGUUAACAAUACAAUUCGCUCCUACGGCAUCCAUACGACAUUCUUUGAACUUCAUUUUUUCUUAUAAAAAAAAGCUUCGAUUGAUCUCUUUUAGUGAAAGAAAUGGCUGAAACUCUUAUGCAUGCUUUACAAUAUAACAGCUAUGGCGGAGGCGCUGCUGCUUUGAAGGUAAAAAUCUACUUCAUUAUGAUGAUCCAUUUUGCUUUCUUUUACUUUUUUCUUACUGUUUUAUCAUAUAAGUUUAGUUCCUUUUUUUAGUGGAGACUUCAAUUAAGGUUGUUAAUCUAGUGUUUAUAUUGAUCUAAGUUUGCUCUUCGGAUUCAAAAUUCUAUUAGUUUAACUUGUGAUUGAAGAAAGCAUGAAUAUGAUUUCAAUGAGUGCCGUGAGUUAUUAAGGAAUUGGAAUUUUCUGGAACGGAAAUGAACUAUAGGGAAUUUGCUAUUCGGAAUUAAAAUUUCACGACAAGGAUAUGAGAUUGUGAGGUUGACUUGAUGGAGAAGUUAAGUGUUGACCGAUUUUAUCGUCGGAUUCAAAAUUUUAUUUGUUAAAUUUGUGAUUGAAAGCAUAUAGAUAAUUUGAAUGAGUACUCCGAUGCACUAGGAUGCUGGAAUUUUCAGGAAUUGAAGUAAAUUAAGUAUUUGCUCUUUGGAAUUAAAAAUUCCAAAAAAGAUCUGUGACUUAUGGGCUAGGACUUGAUAGUGAAGUUAAGUGUUAACUGAUUUUAUCGUCGGAUUCAAAAUUCUAUUAGUUAAAAAAUUGUGAUUGAAAGCACAUUCUGGAACGGAAGUAAAUAAGGAUUUGCUCUUGGAAGAGAUCUGAGACCGAGAGGUUGAUAGGUUGAUACUCUUUUUAUUUUUAUUUUUUAAAUUUAAUCGGCAUGCUUUAUUAAUACCACAAAACAAGACAAAAUUGGUUGUUUGGAAAACUCCACCCACAGCAACACUAAACCACCAAAAACAAACAAUUAAAACAAAAGAAAUUUUUUAUAUGGACCUGCUUGAUAUAAACUUGAAAAGAAAAUUUACCAGUGACUUGAUGUCAUAACAGCUUUGAAUUUUUUGUGCUUGUUACAGCAUGUUGAAGUUCCAAUACCCACUCCAAAUAAAGAUGAAAUAUUGCUUAAACUGGACGCAAUUAGUCUAAACCCAGUUGACUGGAAAAUACAGGAAGGGGUGCUUCGUCCAUUUUUACCUAGAAAAUUCCCCUGCAUACCUGGUAGUUUAUAUAUUUUGUUCUUUUCACUUUUUCUGUCUUGAAAUUUUCUUGAGAAUUUUUUUUGUCAAUGAUGUUUGAACCGGAUCAGACUGGCCAGUUAGACUAGGAAUAGGCCAAGGUAUUGAUCCGGAGAAUGACUUUGAAUAGAUACGGACCAGUUGAACCAACGGUUGGAUUGGGAACUAGUCUAGGUAUCAGUUUAGAGAAUGACUUUGAACUGGUUUGGAUUGGGAACCAGUACUGGCCGGUUCAACAGAUUAAAAAACCAGUUGAACCGAGUAUUUUUAGUUUUUUUUUUUAAUUGAACCAAUCGAAUUCAUCAAACCAGCGAACGAGUGGCCUGAUUUCUAAAACACUAUUGUUAAGUAUAUCUCAAGUUACGUGAGUCUUCACAAUCUGUUUUUGUUGUAUUACUAUGUUGAAUUCCCUAGCAGGGCUUUCUGAAAAAUUUACUUAGUAUCUGCCGGAUUAUUCAACUUGUAAUCUAAUUUGCGUCGAUUUACAUUGUGGAGUUUGCUUUAGUGGUAACUAUUGAUGGGAAAAGAAUGUGUCUAUUUAACUCAAGUUAUCAUUAAAGGACAGAAUUUGUCUAUUUGUUAAGGCAUAUCCUUUUUCUAUAAUUAACCAACAUAAUAAUAAGCUGGUUGGCAGGUCUCUUAGUUUAAGCAAUUGUGGUUAUUGAUGGUAAUUUUGGCACCCUCUUGUCAUGGAAGAUUUGAUAUCUUAAAUAUAUUUUUUUUGCAGCUAGUGAUGUAGCAGGAGAAGUCGUAAAGAUUGGACCAGGAGUUACAAAUUUCAAAGCUGGGGAUAAAGUUGUAGCCAUGCUUCAUCAUUUUGUAAGUUCUAGUUCUCAUUCUUAAUCCCCCCCUCCCCAAGUCAGCAUAAAAAGUCUGGCCAGUAGGCUUAGUUUUCAGAAUCAGAUAGGUGGUUGAACUGAUGAUACCACCAUUUUGAUUAAAUAAUUAAUUAAAAAAUAUAUAAAAUAUAAAAUAUAAAAUCUGAUUUAAGUGGUUCAACCAGUCCGUAUUGAUUCCUGAGUCAAAAGGUUCAAAGCCUUCUUCCGGAUAGGUACUCUAGCUGGAUCUUUGUCCAACAGUCCGAUCAGCUGGUCUAAUCUGGUUCAAACAAUCUUGCCGGCAUGUCAUUAAUCAUUCUGAGAACAAUCAGAAAGGAGAUUUCUUCUUGAAGAGUGGAAGAAUCACCAGUAUUUUACUAGCUUAAUGGAUCACAAUUUGAAAAAUAGUCAAUGAUAUUUGUAUUUUUGGUAUUAGCUCGAGUAAUUAAUUGGGCGUUGAGCUUGGUAGGACUUUAGGCAACAAUUCUUGAGGUAAAAUAUGGAUCUCCUCAUGGCCAAAAGAUCAACUUUUGAAUCCAAUAAUGAUGGAAUGCGCGUAAAUUGUAGCCCCAUAAAAAGAAAUUCUAAGGACUGGUGCUACAUUUUUUGUUCUAGUAAACCAUGUUGGUCUUCCAAUGAGUGAUCUUGAUUAGCUUAGUCAUGAGAACCGCUUAGAAUUGACCUGCUUGCCUGUUUGGAUUAAUCGGUAUCGUGUUUAGAAUGCAACCAUCCUUUGUCUACGUGACUAUCAUUACUCUCAUUAUGUGGCCAUUUGGCUGAGAGAAACUUAGAUAUCCUUACUGCAGUCCAGUGGUUCAGUGAAUUUAUCUUCUAUUUAUAUUAUCAACGAAUCAGUAUCAGUUAUGUCGAUUGCUAUGACUCUCUUCUAUAAUGAAUUAUAUUUACAAUGAUAGACCGGAGGUGGACUAGCUGAAUAUGCUGUGGCUAAGGAGAAUCUGACAGUUGCAAGGCCACCAGAAGUAUCAGCUGCCGAAGGUGCAGGUUUGCCUGUUGCUGGUCUCACAGCUCACCAGGCAGUUUCCCAGGCAGCUGGGGUCAAGCUUGACGGAAGUGGCCAGCAAGUAAACCUCUUGAUUACUGCUGCUUCAGGUGGUGUAGGUCAUUACGCAGUUCAACUAGCAAAGCUUGGAAACACACAUGUAACAGCCACUUGUGGGGCUCGUAAUCUGGAUUUUGUCAAAAGCCUUGGAGCAGACGAGGUUCUUGACUACAAGACUCCCGACGGGGCAGCUCUGAAAAGCCCUUCGGGUCGCAAAUAUGAUGCAGUGAUCCACUGUGCAGCGGGCAUUCCUUGGUCUACCUUUGAACCUAAUCUAAGUUCAAAUGGGAAGGUAAUCGAUAUAACCCCUGGUCCUAGUGCUUUCCUAACUUUUGCUAUGAAAAAGCUUACUUUCUCAAAGAAGAAGCUGGAACCACUCUUUGUGUCACUUAAGAAGGAGAACCUCAAUUAUCUCGUUAACUUGGUGAAAGACGGGAAGCUUAAGACGGUAAUCGAUUCGAAGUAUCCCUUAAGUAAGGCUGAAGAAGCAUGGGCUAAGAGCAUUGAUGGUCAUGCCACUGGUAAGAUCAUUGUGGAGCCUUAGUCUAUAAAAUAUUACUUUAUUAGACUAACUGCAGUUAUAAGCAAUUAAAACAAUAAACAGCGAUGCUUGGAGGUCAUGUUGCUUGUAUGGAUAAUUAGGAUUUGUGGACUUUGAAAAUUAUGUUUAUGAAAUGUAUCAUGUAUGGCUAAUAUUACAUUUUGGUUGCAAAAUUUUCUUAAUAUGUUGUAAGCUCUGUAUUCACAAAUUAGCUCUUCUUUUGUGUGGUUCCUACAUUUCCUUGCUUUUUGGUUUGACAAUUUCAACAAUGAAAUGUGAUUAUGUUGGACUUGUAUGCUUUUUCUUAUUAGUUCAUAUUUGAGGUUUGAAUUGUAUGUAUUUUAACUAUGUUCAUAUUUCAAUUUUUUAAUUAAAGUUUUGCUUAUAAAUUUGUUUUUAUGUAAAAAUAUUUAAUAGUUCAAAAUCUUUUUUGAAAAUAUGUGUUAAUUAUAUGAAUAAGUGAAUAUUUUAAUAUUUAUAGGGAUAAAUAUUAAAUUUAUACAUAAAUAUUGAUUAAACUUAUAAUUUGAUACAUAAAUUUUUAUUUGGUGUUAUUAUAUAAAUAAAAUUUAAAUUGCGGUUCAUAUGUAUAUAUAAAACUUUGAUUUAUUUCAAUUGUACAUGUUUAAAAGAAAUAAAUACAUACAUUCUUUUGUCAUAUUGAAUUAAUAUAAUUGUGUGGUAAUAUAAUGUAAAGUUGUUUUAACUUGAUAAUGUAGUUAUAAAAUCAAAAUUUAUAUAUGAUAUUGCACAUUGAAUCAAAAAUGAAAGAAUUAUUAUUAUAUUGAAAUUUAUAUCAACAAAUGAUUUUUAAAUAUAUAAUUAGGAUAUAAAAAAAUAUAAAAUAUGAAAUUGUGAGAUAAUAAAAUGUAUUAAAAAUCGAUAGAAUUUUUAUAUUAAAAUUUAUAUGAAUAAAUGAUUUUUAAAUAUAUUUAAAAAUUAUAAAAUAUGAAAUUUUGAGAUAAUAAAAUGUAUUAAAAAUCGUUGAAAAUCAGUAAUUAUUGGCAAGGAGAAAAGUAGAGGUUUGAAAUGGGACAAGGCGGCAAGUUUGAUACAACGAGUAGAAGAAGAAAUCAAUUGUAGCACAUUCAAGAAGUUAUGAUUGUAAAAAAUAAUUUACAAUACAUGAACUUAUUUAUACAAUAUAAAUAAUUUACAGAGAAAUUCUCAUAUAAAUAUACAAACUUUAAAAAUAUAUUUAAUUUGAUUAUAGAAUAAUAUAUGAAAUAAUACAAUAUGAACUAAUCCAAGGUGAAGGGAGAAAAAUUUUGAAGGAUAAAAAUUAAAUUUUAAUUUUUUAUAAUUUAUAUUUUUAUAAUUUUUAAAGGAUUAAAUUAAAUUUUUAUCAUUUUUAGAAGAUUAAUCUAAUAUUUUUUUUAUUAUUUUAAGAGAUUAAAGUAUAAUUUUACUUUUACUAAUUUAAAAUUUUAAAAUUUUUAAAAAAUCUAAAUGACCAAUUUCCUGUUUUAAGGGGUCGACUCCUGCUAGCUCUUUAGAUCCAUUACUGUACAAUAACACACUUGGGUGAAAAAUAAAAUAAAAUAAAACAAUAUUUUUCUUAAAAUAUUAAUAAUUAUAAAUAAAGUAACAAAAAGUUGAAUGAAACUGAUUCCUUUUUUCAUGUAAGCGAAUUUUAUUUAAAAUUUUGUUUAUAUUGUGAGUAGUUGCUAAAAUUGUGAAAGUGGAAAAACCUUUUUUAACCUUUUUUUUGUGAAUUUAUUAAAAAAAAUUAAAAUUAUUAAAUUACAUGUCUAUCUUAAUCAAAGCCAUUUAUUGUAGUAUAUUAACUUGAUUUUUAUCAUUUUCUUGUCCUUCGAUUAAUUCAUCCUCAAGUAUCUAUAAUAACAGUUUAACAUAAUAAUACAUAAAAAGUAUAGAAAUGUAACCAAAGGUUUUCUGCGAAUUUGUUGGAAGAGGGGUAUACCCGUUAAUUUAGCUAAAUGCAGGCCUCAUUUCCAUGUCUGAAAUUUCACUAUAAAAACAACCCCUCAAAGCCCAAUUAUCUAAUUGCAAAAGCUACAUAAUUUAAUCACUUUCUGGUCCUUCCCGCUUUCUCUUUUAUCUUCUCAAUUCUCAGUUACCUUCUUCAUUCAUUUUCUACUCACAACUGAAAAUGGCUAAGAAUACUAUGAUGCGUGCUGUUCAAUAUAACACUUAUGGCGGAGGCGCCGCUGCUUUGAAAGUAAUCUUCUUCAUCCUUUUAUUUGCUUGCUUUUUCAUUUUUUUUGUCUUUUUGUUAGCAUUUUUUCUUAUAAUUUUCCGAGAUCAAAAGUUAAAACAAAGUAAAAAUGAUCUAAUUAUGAAUCUCAUAACUCUAUUUUAUCAGAAUUGAAUUUAAUUUAACAAAAUUCGACAUUAUGAAAACUGGAAAUUAAUUCAGUUUCAACUACUGAUUUUUGCUUCUUCUUCUCUCUUUUUUUUUCUUAAAAUUGAUUAACUAUCGAGUUUUACUAUUUCAUUUUUGCCCAACUGUUGAUCUUUAAUGUCAGUUUUAAGGUGAUGUUUGACAAUAUGAAGAUGAACUUAUUGGACUAACAUCUCAGUUUUUUUAUAGAAGAAUAUAAAUAAAUUAAAAUAGAGGAUUAAUUUCCGAGUUUUUAUAAGGUAGGAGUAUAAAUUCAUAAAACGGUUAGAAAUGGAGAUUUGAGUCCAGAUUGUUUAUCUAGUGUGAUUAUAUUGACCAAGGGAGAGUAAGAAUGGAUAAUUAAAGAAAGGUUUUAAAUUACUUUUAAUUUACUAAGUAAUAUAGAAGUUCAUAUUGUUUAUGCUUUUGGUGUUGAUUUAUGUAGGUAUUAUAGCAAAAUAAAAAGUUGCUAAAUCUGAAGCUUAGCUUAGUCAUCUUUAACAAUAAUAUCCGACGACUUCGGAUUUCGAAACUUAAUAUAUACAAUCUUUCUCUUACGUAAAAAGAUAAAAAAAAAAAAGAAAAAAAAGUAGGCAUUGAAAGCUUUGUUUGAGUCAAAGCUCUGAAAUUCCAAUUUGUAUUGUGGAAGACAGAGAGGUCUAUCCACUCGUUUGCAGUGAAACAACUUCAUGAUAUCAAGGUGUAUAUUACCCUGCAUGUGACUGUGGUGGUAUCCUACACUGUAGGCAUGGAUGCAUGUAUGUAUGCAUGCAUCUGUUUAUGUAUGUAUGUAUAUGCUUUGUAUUGUGGAAGGCAGAGAGGUCUAUCCACUCAUUUGCAGUGAAACGACUUAAUGAUAUGAAGGUGCAUGUUACUCCUGCAUGUGGCAGUGCGUGCGGGCGUGUUGUUCAAAACUCCAAAAGGGAUAUGAAACUGAGAGGGUUCAUGGUACAAUUAUAACAUAUAUCUGAAAAUGUAUUUGCUGCAGCAUGUUGAACUUCAAGUUCCUUCUCCAAAACAAGAUGAAGUUUUACUAAAAAUGGAGGCAACUAGUAUAAAUCCAUUUGACUUGAGAAUACAGAAAGGGAUAGUGUGGCCAUUUUUGCCUCGCAAAUUCCCCCACAUACCUGGUACCUUCCAUUUAUCUCUCCAUCUGCAAACAUUGCACUUCUCUUCAAUGCCAAUAUUUCAAAUGCCUAUUUGGCUAAAGAAUUUUUUGUUGGAGAAGGUAUUGAUGCAGCAGGAGAAGUCUUUGAGGUCGGAUCAGGAGUCAAGAAUUUCAAAGCUGGCGAUAAAGUUGUGGCCGUGCUUUUUGUAAGUUGCCAUUCUUAUUCUUCCGGUCUAUGUUAUUCUGAUUUGAGUGCGAGUAUUUGUUACAUGUUUGACAAUAUGUAUCAGAUAAGAGUAUCAGAUACGAAUACGAGCUUCAGGGUAGCAUGGUAAUUCAAUUUGGAUAAAUAGUUUAUGGCAUUUGUGCAACCCCAAUAGUUCUUGAAGAAAAAUCUGAACUUUUUAAAGCUUUUUCAUAUAUUUGGAAGUCCCAAGGACUGUCGUGUCCCGUUACCUGUUCGAGUCUGUGUUCCACUUAAACUAUUUGUUGGUUAUUAUUGGAACAACCCCAAAGCCCCAAACUUUUGUGCCGUAUCUCUUUCGGUAUUGAGUCGUAUCAUGUUUAUAAUGCAAUCACCUUAUUUACAUGACUAUCAUUUCCGAGUAAGUGAUCCUCAGACUUUGUUUGUUUAAUAAAGGAGCUUUGUUUCAUCUGCAAUUUAGCAUCGUUUUAAGUCAUUGGCUAUGGCAAAUUAUUACGAAUAUAUAUUGCAAUGACAGAACAUAUGUGGAGGUGGACUGGCUGAAUUUGCUGUGGCGAAGGAGAAUUUGACAGUUUCAAGGCCUCCAGAGGUAACGGCUUUUCAAGGAGCAGCUUUACCGAUCGCCGGCCUCGCAGCUCACGAGUGUCUCCUCCGUACUCCCGGGUUCAACUACGAAAAAACCGGCCAGCAACUAAACCUCCUGAUUACUGCCGCAUCGGGCGGCGUAGGUCAAUAUGCAGUUCAACUAGCAAAGCUCGGAAACGCACACGUGACAGCCACUUGUGGCGCACGUAAUCUUGAUUUAGUCAAGAGCCUCGGAGCAGACGAGGUUAUCGACUACAAGACCCCUGACGGGGCAGCUCUCAAAAGCCCUUCUGGCCGCAAAUACGACGCUGUAAUCCACUGCGCAACCGGCUUUCCUUGGUCCACUUUCAAGCCCAAUUUGAGCACAAACGGCAAAGUAUUCGACAUUACUCCUACUCCUAGUGUUUUCAUGACUAACGCUUUACAAAAGCUUACCUUUUCAAAGAAACAAUUAGUUCCAUUGCUUAUGACACCUAAGAAAGAGAAACUCGAUUUUCUUCUUAAUUUUGUGAAAGAAGGGAAGAUUAAAGCCGUAGUCGACUCUAUACAUCCCUUAAGUAAGGCCGAAGAAGCAUGGGCUAAAAGCAUUGAUGGCCAUGCCACUGGUAAGAUCAUUGUAGAACCUUAAGUUUAUGGAGAUCUCAAUUCAUUAUUUAAUACAGGUGGUUUCAAUGCAAUAAAAUUGAUGAAAUUUGAGUUUCAUCAUGUUGUAAAUGAUAGCUAUGUAUAAUUAGGAUUUAUGAAUUUUGUUUUAAUGCAAUAAAUUUGAUUUUUCUCUAAACUUACAUAAUUUAUACUCUCCAACAGAGUUAGUAUCAUAAGUUGAUUGAAUAUAAAUUCAGCUGGACAAAGACGAAAAACACCUUUACUUUUCAAAGUAAAUUAUAUUAUUUUAAAAGUAUUUUUAUAGCAAAAUGUACACAAUAUGAUUUGGAACUUAUACCUCAUUAGUUUUCAUAUCUAUGUUUUACCAUUCAACCAAAACCUCAUUAACUUUUACAUAAAUUUAUUUAUUUCUUACUUAUAUCGUGGUGUACCUUGAUAUAAUUUUCUAUUAUAUAUAAUCUUAAUAGGCGGGGAGAAUCAAUUUAUAAUAUUAACUUUUAAUUUGUUAUGUUUAUCAAAUAAUCGAAAUCUAUUUAAAGUAAAUAAAUUAAUGACUUGAAAUUGGGCGCAACUUAAUUUUAGACUUAAUUAAGUUGAUAACAUACACUAAAAUCUUGUAUUCUCUUACUUGAAAAGAGAUAGUUAACCCUUUCAUCUAUUAAGUAAUUUUUUAAUAAUUUUUAAAGUUUUACGAGUUAAUUUUUUAUAAACAUUUUCACGUUUCGUAAAUUAAAUAUUUCUUUCAAUAUUUGUAAAAUGCUUAAUUUCUUAAAAUAUUAUUCACAUUUUAAGUAAUGUACUUUAAUGUUUUACGAAUUAAUUUCUUAAAUAUCGUUUCGAGUUUUAAGUAAGUUUUCAUGUAUCAAGUAAUUUUUUCAUGUAUUAAUUAAUUUUUCAAUGUUUUACGAAUUGUUGAAUUUUCAUAAAAAACCUUUUCAAGUUUUAAGUAGCCUUUCAUGGUGUUUCAUCAUUUUUCGAUUUAAAGAAAAAAUAAAAAUUAACUUAAUAAAUUAUUGAUGUUGUAAAUUAAAUGGAUGUCUAUAACCCCUAAUCAUAUUAAAGUAACAAAAUUUUUUUACUUCAUUUAUAAUCAGGAGAUCAUUAAAUGGAGUAAUUAAGAAAAUUUAGUUCAUUAAAUGUAAUUGAAUGUAAAGAAGCUUAUAAAUAGCACUUUGUAAGUGAAAAUAUGACUAUGAAAAUUUCUCUUGUAUUUUCAUCCACUUUUAUUUAUUGUUUUAUUAAUUUUUUUAUAACACGUUAUCAGCACGAGCUUUUACGAUUUCAUAGUGAAGUUCACGUCAUUUCGAAUUUAUAUAAUUUGCCUGUAUAACUCCCAUUAAAAUAUACGGUAUACGUAUUUUCAUAAUUAUUUUAUUUUAUUUUCUAGAUGAAAUAUUUGCUUUGGAUAACAUUCGAAUAUUUAUUUUUACAACUAAAAUCUAAUAAUGAUAGUUAUAUAUACAUGUUUUUUUUAAAAGAAAUUUCAAUUAAUGUAAUUUGUGUUAAGUUAUUAUUAUGACUAUUCCUCUUUAUGUCAAUAUUUGACAUGCAUAUUAUUAUUUAGCAAAUUUGGUAUAUAUAAUUGAAUUAUUUUACGAUUGAGAAUACUUAUUAUUUUAAUAAUAAUUUUUUUUUAUUUUGAUUCAAGUGAUUAUAAUGUCAAAUCUUGCUAAACUUGAAUUUGCGGCCUUAGACAUCUCAGGCAAGAAUUAUUUGUCAUGGGUGUUAGAUGCUGAAAUUCACCUAGAUGCUAAAGGUCUAGGAAAUACUAUAUUAGCAGAUAAAGAAGCAUCUAAUCAAGACAAGGCAAAAGCAAUGAUUUUCAUCCGUCAUCAUCUACAUGAAUGAUUAAAAGUGGAAUAUCUCACUGUGAAAUACCUUCUUGAGUUGUGGAAAAAUUUGAAAGAAAGAUUUGACCAUCAGAAAACUGUGAUACUCUCUAAAGCUCGUUAUGAUUGGAUGCAUUUACGGUUGCAAGAUUUUAAGACUGUAAGUAAAUACAAUUCAGAACUUUUCAAAAUUAGUUCUCAACUAAAAUUAUGUGGAGAAAACAUAAUUGAUGAGGACUGGUUAGAGAAAACAUUUUCAACCUUCCACGCUACUAAUGUGCUCUUGCAGCAGCAGUACCGUGAAAAAGGUUUUAAAAGGUAUUCUGAAUUGAUUUCAUGCCUUUUGGUGGUUGAACAAAAUAAUGAGCUAUUGAUGAAAAAUCAUGGAAUUCGUCCCACUGGUUCUGCUACAUUCACUUCACCAUUCCCUGAAGUGAAUGUAGCAGUACACAAUAAUUAUGAAAAUAGAAAAUAUAGAAGUCGCGACCGUGGUCGUGGACGUAGUGAGGGAUGUAGUCGAGGACGUAUUAGUAAUCGUUAUCAUGGUGGUCAUAACAAUGAUACUUCUAACCACCAGAAAAAGAAUAACAAUGAAAGAAAAGAUUAUUGAGAAUAUAUGCUACCGAUGUGGCAUGAAGGGGCACCAGUCACGUACUUGUCGUACGUCUGAGCAUUUAGUGAAACUUUAUCAAGCAUCCAUUAAAAGGAAGGAAAAGCAUUUGGAGACAAAUUUUAUAUCCCAAAAUGAUGAAAUAGAGGCAAAAGAUGAAGAUAUUCACUAUAAUACUAAAACUGACCAUGGCUACGAGGAUGAUAAAUUUAAUGACCUUAAUAAUAUAACUCACCUAGAUGUGGCAGGUUUAUUUGAGAAUCAUUAGAAAAAUUGAUGUUAUUUUGACAUUUUUAUGUUGUUUUAAGUAUAUUUUAUUUUCUUGCAUAAAGAAUAAUUUAUAUACUUAAUAAAUAUUUGCAAUGUUUCUCAUAUUAUAUUUUGUUUAUUUUUAUGAAGAAUAUGAAUAUUCAACAAAAUUUCGAUGAACCCAAAAUCAAUGAAGAUAUGUGUCUUGUAGAUAGUGCUACAAAACAUAUGAUACUCAAAGAUAAAAAAUAUUUUUCUCAUUUGACAAUGAGUAAUGCUCAUGUUAAUACAAUACCGGGUAGUUCAAAACUUAUUGAGGGUUCUGGAAGAGCUAUUAUAUUAUUACCUAAAGGUACAAAAUUUAUCAUUGAUGAUGCUUUAUAUUCCACUAAGUCUCAAAGAAAUUUAUUGAGUUUUAAAGAUAUUAGUCUUAAUGGAUAUCAUAUUGAGACUAUGAAUGAGAAAAAUAUUGAAUAUCUAUAUAUUACAGAUGUUGAAUGUGGAAAGAAAUAUAUUUUGGAAAGCUUACCUGCUUUUUCAUCAGGUUUAUAUUAUACACAUAUUAGUGCAAUUGAGUCACAUGUUACUACAAACCAGAAGUUUUUAGAACCACAUACUUUUACUAUUUGGCAUGACCGAUUAGGUCAUCCUGGAUCUAUUAUGAUGUAAAGAAUCAUGAAGAAUUCAAUUGGACACUCAUUAAAGAACCAAAGAUUCUUGAAUUCAAGGAUCUAUCUUGUAUCGCUUGUUCUCAAGGAAAAUUGAUUAUUAGACCAUCACUAGCUAAAGUUGGGAUUAAAUCUCCAGCAUUUUUGGAACGUAUUCAAGGUGAUAUAUGUGGGCCCAUUCAUCCACCAUGUGGACCAUUUAGAUAUUUUAUGAUAUUAAUAGAUGCAUUUAGUAGGUGGUCACAUGUGUGCUUAUUAUCAACUCGCAACCUGGCGUUUGCGAGACUACUUGCUCAAAUAAUUCGAUUAAGAGCACAAUUUCCAGAUUAUGCAAUCAAAACUAUUCGUCUUGAUAAUGCUGGAGAGUUUACAUCCCAAGCUUUUAAUGAUUAUUGUAUGUCAAUUGGAAUAAAAGUUGAACAUCCUGUAGCUCAUAUUCAUACACAAAAUGUUUUAGCUGAAUCAUUUAUCAAACGCCUCUAACUAAUAGCUCGGACAUUGCUUAUGAGAACAAAACUCCCUGUUACAGCUUGGAGAUUUGUUAUUUUGCAUGCAGCAGCACUUGUGCGCUUAAGGCCAACAAGUUAUAAUAAGUACUCCCCAUUACAAUUGGCUUUUGGUCAGGAGCCAAAUAUUUCCCAUCUUAGAAUUUUUGGAUGUAUAGUAUAUGUUCCAAUUGCUCUACCACAACACACAAAGAUGGGUCCUCAAAGGAGGUUGGGAAUAUAUGUUGGUUAUGAAUUUCCUUCUAUAAUUAAAUCUGUUGAACCAUUAACUAGAGAUUUAUUUACUGCACAAUUUAUUGAUUGUCAUUUUGAUGAAACAACAUUCCCAACAUUAGGGGAAGAGAAAAUACAACUGGUAAAAAAAAUUACAUGAAAUGAAUCAUUAUUAUCUCAAUUAGAUCCUCGUACAAGUUAAUGUGAAUAAGAAGUUCAAAGGAUUAUACAUUUGUAAAACAUUGCCAAUCAAUUGCCAGAUUUAUUUACUGACCUAAAUAGAAUUACAAAAUCUCACAUACCAGCUGAAAAUGCUCCAAUAUUAAUUGAUAUCCCAAUAAGACAAAUUGUUAGUACAAAAGAAAGUAAUCCACGCCUGAAGCGUGGAAGGCCAAUCGGUUCCAAAGAUAAAAAUCCUCGUAAAAGGAAAUGAUCAAUUAUUCAAGAUGGUAAUAUUGUGGAGGCAAGUGCCCCAAAAGAGGCCAAAGAUAUAACUAAUCAAAAAAACCCUAAAAGAGGUUCAGGUACCUCAAAAUGGUGAUAACGAAUAAAUCUCAAUAAGUUAUGUUACUUCAGGAAAAAGAUGGAACCGAAAAAAUAUAGUUGCCUACAACAAUUUUGCUUAUAAUGUUGCUAUUGAAAUAGCAAAAGAAAAUGAGGAUCCUGAGCUUAAAUUUAUUGAAGAAUGUAGAAAUAGAAAAGAUUGGCCAAAAUGGAAAGACGCAAUUCAAGUAGAAUUAAAUUCGCUUUCUACACGUGAGAUUUUUGGACCUAUAGUCCAAAAACCUAACUAUGUAAAGCCGGUAGGAUAUAAAUGGAUAUUUGUGCGAAAACGAAAUGAGAAAAAUGAGGUCGUAACAUAUAAAUCACGACUUAUAGCACAAGGAUUUUCGCAAGGACCCGGCAUUGAUUAUGAAGAGACAUAUUCUCCUGUGGUGGAUGCAAUCACGUUUAGAUACCUUAUUAGUCUGGCAGUAUGUGAAAAACUUGACAUGCGUCUAAUGGAUGUUGUUACAGCCUAUUUUAUGGUACACUUGAUAGUGAAAUUUAUAUGAAAAUCCCAAAAUGAUUUAAAAUCCCUGAAGGAUAUAGAGUUUCCCGAGAAAAUUGCUCAAUCAGAUUAAAGAAAAGUUUAUAUGGAUUAAAACAAUCUGGACGUAUGUGGUACAAUCGUCUUAGUGAAUAUUUGUUAAAAGAAGGUUGUAAAAAUGAUCCAAUCUGCCAAUGUGUUUUUAUAAAAAGGUUUGAAUCAAACUUUGUAAUAAUUUCUAUUUAUGUUGAUGAUAUAAAUAUUAUUGGAACCCCUGAAGAGCUUCAAAAUACAGUAAAUUAUUUAAAGAAAGAAUUUGAGAUGAAAGAUCUCGAAAAAAUAAAAUUUUGUCUUGGCCUGCAGAUCGAGCAUUUAAAAGAUGGAAUCCAUGUCCAUCAGUCAACUUAUACGAAAAAGAUCUUAAAUAAAUUUUAUAUGGAUAAAGCACAUCCAUUAAGUACCCCGAUGGUUGUAUGAUCGUUAGAUGUGAAUAAAGAUCAAUUUCGUCCUUGUGAGAAUUAUGAAGAGUUUCUUGGUCCUGAAGUACCAUAUCUAAGUGUCAUAAGAGCAUUGAUGUAUCUUGCAAAUAACACAAGACCUGAUAUAGCUUUUGCUGUAAACUUGUUAGCAAGAUUUAGUUCUUCUCCAACACGUAGACAUUGGAAUGGAAUUAAACAUGUAUUUAGAUAUCUUAGAGGGACCAUUGAUAUGAGGUUAUUUUAUUCAAAUGAUUCAAAAUUUCUAUUAGUUGGUUAUGCUAAUGCUGGAUAUUUAUCAGAUCCACAUAAAGGUCAAUGAUAUUUAUCGGAUCCACAUAAAGGUCGAUCUCAAAUGGGAUAUUUAUUUACAUGUGGAGGUACUGCCAUAUCAUGGCGUUCGACAAAGCAAAUAUUAGCUGCUGCCUCUUCAAAUCAUGUUAAAAUAAUUGCAAUACAUGAGGCAAGCCGAGAGUGUGUUUGGCUAAAGGUUAUUAACCCAACAUAUCCAGAAGAUAUGUAAUUUGCCUUUAUAGGAAAAUAUGCCAACUAUCUUAUACAAAGAUAAUGCAGCAUGUAUAGCUCAAUUAAAGGGUGGUUAUAUCAAAGGUGACAGAACAAAACAUAUUUCACCAAAAUUAUUCUUCACUCAUGAUCUUGAGAAGAAAUGUGACAUAGAAGUUCAACAAAUUCGUUCUAGUGAUAAUUUAGCAAAUCUUUUUACCAAGGCAUUGCCAACUUCAACAUUUGAAAGACUACGAAACAAGAUUGGAAUGCGUCGACUUGAAGAUAUAAUGUGAUGUCGUCAUUAAGGGGAGUCCAAAAUACAUUAUACUCUUUUCCUUUAACCAAGGUUUUGUCCCAUUGGGUUUUCUGGUAAAGGUUUUUAACGAUGCAACUUGUAAUAGGAGAUUGUGUACUUUUUUUCCUUCAUUAGGUUUUUAUCCCACAGGGUUUUUUCUAAUAAGUGUUUUAAUGAGGCACGUUCUUAUUUAAAAGACAUCCAAGUGGGAGUGUUGUAAAUUAAAUGGAUGUCUAUAACCCCCUAAGCAUAUUAAAGUAAUAAAAAUCUUUACUUCAUUUAUAAUCAGGAGAUCAUUAAAUGGAGUAAUUAAGAAAAUUUAGUUCAUUAAAUGUAAUUGAAUGUAAAGGAGCUUAUAAAUAGCACAUUGUAAGUGAAAAUACGACAAUGAAAAUUUCUCUUAUAUUUUCAUCUACUUUUAUUUAUUGUUUUAUUAAUUUUUCUAUAACAAUUGAAAAAAUAUAUGAAAAUUUUGAUUUUGAAAACUUAAAACUUUAUAUAAAAAUAAGAGUCUCACUGAAUUAUUUGGCUAAAUGUGAUUAAAAAAUAAUAAUUUUGAGUUUGCAUAAAAAAUUAUAUUAAAAUUGAAGUUCAAAAAUCGAUUACGAAAAGUUUUAGAAACAUUCAAAAUUGAUACAUUGUUAAACACGUAUUAUUUUAAUUUUAAAAAUACGAGUUUAAUUCAUUGUUUAAAUGUAAUAUGAAGACACAAGAAUUUAUCAGCAUUUCUUUUAGAGUAAAUCACAUUAUAUUUAAAAACAAAACCUUCUUAUACUACCCUACUACACAAGCAGGGACGAUGCUGGGUGGUAGGUUCUCCACAGCCUAAAAUGAAAAGUUUUAGUUUUAUUCUAUUAAAAUUUAUAAAUUUAUAAAUUUUAAUUUAAUACAUGAUAAAAUUGUAUUUUUAUCUCUAAAAAUAAUAAAUUUUUUAUUUUAAAUCUUUAAAAAUUUAUAAAAAUAUAAAUUAUUAAAAUAAUAAAAUUAUAUUUUAAUUGAAUUAAUUGGUUUCUUUACAUAAUAACACAAAGUUCAAGUUAUUAUUAUAAUUUUUUGAAGUAUAAUAAAUGCAAUAGAAUAAAAGUAAAAAUAUAAGCGAUUGAUCUAAAAUUCACAUAUCACAAUCUCACGUAAAGAAAUCAAAGAUUUAAUAAUUAUGAUAUAAAAGACUGAAAAUAUAUCAUAAUUAUGAUAUAUCAAAGAUUUAAUAAUUUAUUUCACGCCCAUCUUUGGGCAUGGGCAAAAUGCCUUUAUGCCACAGGACACACACACACACAAAAUAUCUUUUAGAUUAUUUAAAAGUUAUUUUUUUAAAUUAUUAAAUACCCAAAUGAAACAGACAUUUUAAGUUGUAAAAUACUUUUUUAUUUAGUUUUGUUUAUGGUGGGUGAAUAUUUGUUUAAAUAAAAUAUUUAAUAAUUUUUAAUAUAUUUAAAUAACUUACAGCAUGUUUAGUUGGGGGCUUAAGAAUAGAUUUCAGCCCAAUUCGACGGGCCCAUCACUAAACAUUAGUUUGGUUGGGUGUAAUGUUAUUAAAGCCCGAAUCUAUUCAAUGCGUAUUACAGAGAAAAUGUUGAAUAGCCAUUCCGUUCUCUCACCACUGAAUAGUCAUUCGUUCCCGUGUGAAGUAAAAAUUGUUCCCCCUUUUCAAUUUUAGUCCUCACCUCUAACAGAGAAUGAAGAAGCACUAGAGCCAUCAUCUUCUCCCUUAGUUCACAGGUAACUUUCUUUUUUUUUCUCAUCUCUAUGUUUCCCUUUUUCCAUUUGAUUGUAGAAAAUACCUAGGUCAAUCUAUUAUUCGUUCUUUCUUUUUUUUUUCUUCACCUUUUAAGCCAAUAAAACCCUUUGGUUGCAGAGUUGCAAAACUUUUUUUUUUAGCUUUUUCACUGCAUUUCUCAUUUCCCCUAUAUGAACUUUUUGGUAGUUAGAGUCAUCAAAAAGGAAUCAAGAAAUAUCGGAAUGGGGAAAUUUGGGACUUCGAGGACGAAGUGGUGGUGGCAGCGUCGACGGUAAUUUCACUCCCCCUCUCUGAAUUUUUUUCUAUUUAUUGUUAUUUUUAAGCUUAGGGUUCUCAUCUUUGUUUUUUUUAGUUGGAAGCCAAAGACAAUAAACUUUUCAUGCAUUUAACAGAAAUAGUUUCAUAUUCGAAUAAUUAAAGCACGAAGAUUAACAUUUUGUGAAGAAGAAAAAAAACAAAGGCAGUAUUUUGCUUUUAUUGGCAGCGUGAUUAUGUGAAAAUACUGAAGUUGUUUCUUCAUUAGAAACUUCUAAAGAACUAGUGAAAAAGAGGAUUAGAUAGUGCAUGAAAUGCAUUUUGAUAUUUGAUUAUGGUUACACGAAUUAUCAUUCAUUUGGGGAUCAUCUCUAGGAAGAUCUUUUCAGCUUGUGAAAGCAGGUGUGUAUGAUGUCCUGCUUUGAGGUCAAGAUCUCGACAGCCUGUUAAGCAUUACAAGAAAUUAUUGUCUGAAAUAUUCCCCAAGUCUCCUGUGAGUAUCUACUCUCUUUUUUUUUUCUUUUUGGAUUAUACAUUUUGGUAAUAGUGGUCUUGGUGAAACUAGAGAGGAAAUCUUUGUACAUAUUUGGGUUUUUGGUGAUGGCUAUUUAAGUUAGCUUGCUUUUGAGUACUUUAAUUUUUAAUGUGGGGAUAUCAAUAAGGAAUAUUUGAUCCUACAAUAUGCCAAUAAUGUCUGCUAGAGUUUUUCUUUUUGAAUCGGCGCUAGAUUGUUACUGUGAUUAUGGCUAUUCAGUUGGUUACUCGGACUCACCUGUGAGUGCCGGAUACAAGUAUGUGUCUUGUAAAGAUAUGUUCAAUUUUGACAUAAGUUUUUCAUGUAUUUGGAGAUUCAUAUCCUACACUCAUAUUCAUGCAAAAUAAAGAAUUAAGCUACAUAGUUGCCUAGAGUUCUCAGCUUUGACUCUAAUGCCAUUUGAGUACUAUAAUUUCACAAAUAGAAUAAAAAUACACUCCUCUAUAGUUGGUUUUUAUACUUUAAAAGAAAAAAAAACUUAUUCUUUGGUUGGAUCUUGGAAGUAACUAAAGAUUAAGCAAAAUUGUUAGAUGCAGUUAAUUAGCAGUUCAGUUGGUGUAUUUCUGAAGAGUCAUUGUUCAUUUUCUAUUAGUUCAUGCCAUUGUUUUAGAUGUCAAUUUUCUGUACAUUACAGAAACUGUGGCCAAGGAAACAUUAGAUCAAGUUAUGGCAGAUGCACUUUCAAAAUCUGGUUUUACUCAAUCUGCAGCAUACAUUUCAUGUCUUUUUUUCGCAAUGGCAUUUUAAGGAUGCCUUUUUUUUUCUUAUUCCUAGAAUGCUUACAAGUUAUGACUCUUUUCGUGUACUAGAAUACUGUGAGAAAUAUAUCAAGCCUAAAGAUGUUAUAGGAGUAGAAGAAGUGAAGUCAAGUGACAAAAAACUGAGUGAAGAUGAAUAUGCUGCCUCGAAUGAUGAGGAAAUCAUCGGAAAAUAAAUCUUUAGGCAUAUAUUAUGCCCUGCAUACUCAUUAUAGAAAUUGUCUUGUGUUGUACAUGAUGUUCAGCUCCAGGAAAAUUCGAACACGAUAGAACCGGGGAAUAUUUGGAAAAAUUCCUACUUACCCUUUUUUGUCAUUACUUUCCAUGGAUGUUUGUGUAAAUUAAUCCAUUGUUGUUCAAUAAUUCAAAUAUUUAUCUACUGCUGAGACUUUAAAAAACAAUUCUCCCAUAUGCUCCUACUCCUUAUGUGCCUGCAUCAAUUAUACUACCGUUUAUUAUGUUUUGUUAGUGUUCAUUUAUACAUUGGUUGAUCUAACUUUGGUGAUGACUUAUUUGGCUGCCAAUGGAAUUUAUACCUCCCAUAUCUCCUACACUUUAUAGUGGUAUCCAUUUUGCAUGGCUUUUGAUUUGGUCUACAAAUUUUUGGUAGCUAGGGUAGUCUCAUAGAGAAGUUAAAACAUGGGUUUGUUUGGUGUAUAAAUGUUUGAAAAUUUUCAUAUAUAUAAAAAUGAGAAUAAUUAUUGCUUUUGGAUCAAUAUUUGUAAUUUUGGCAACUCCGAUUCUAUGAGAUUAUGUUCUGAUUUUUAUUAAUUCAUAUUUUAAUAAAAAUUAUAUUAAGAAUAUUAUUAAAUUAUAUGUUUUUGUUUUUAUUUAAUUAUAUUUAGUAAUAAUUAUAUUAAAACAUGAUUAAAUUAUUUACUAUUUUAAUAAUAAUCUUAGUAAAGUUUAAUAACAAUAAUUAUGUACUUAAAAAAAUUUGUUAGGAGUACUCUGGUCAUUUUAACUUUUUUUCUUAUACUAUUACAAUAUUAUUCCAUUCAACCAAACACAAGAAUACCAUUACAGUUCUAUUCCAUUCCAUUCAACCAAACAAUUGAAUUAUUGAUUACAAUUCUAUUCCAUUACAGCUCUAUUUAAUUACAGUGAACCAAGCGUACCAUUAGAAUCUUCUCAAUGAGGUAUUGGUUUAUGAGUAACCAUAUUCAAUAGCUAUUAUGUGUAAUUUUGUAUAUAAAUUUUCGAGUCUCUUUAUGUGAGAUUAUCAUAUGUGAAUUUUAGUUCAAUCAAUUAUAUUUCUACUUUUUUUCUACUGCAUUUAUUACACUUUAAAAAAUAAUAAUAAUAACAUCAAGCUUGUGUUAUUAUUUUUUUAUGGAAAGAAAUCAAUUGAACGAAACCAAUCUCACAUGUGGUAAAAUGAGUAUUAAUUGCUAUAUAGACACCAUGAUAAAUACAAGUUGAAUCUAACAUCUAUACAUCAUAAUGUCUAGUUACUAAUGUAACAAGUGAGAAAUCUGAAUCUUCAUCAUCACACUCAGAUAUACUUAAUUUUGUUAUAACUUUCCAUUUGUCAGGUUUACCCUUACUUUUCAUCUUUGGAUAAUUUUGUUGGAUCUUGUUACGCUUCAAAAUAUGAAUAUUUGAUUUGUUAUACUUUCUCAAGUAAUCUUAUUUACUCCGGUGGUUAGCGAUUGGAUGUGUGUUGGGGUCCGGUAGUUAGUGUGGAUUAGUUGUUAGAGACCUAUAAGUAGUGGGUAGUAUUAGAGUAAUGGGGUUUUUAAAUUAGCUAUUUAAUUUUUGUUUUUCUUUUCUUUUCUUUCAAAAUCAAAUUGGAUUUUCCAACUUCUUUCCAAAUUCUUUGGUUCCCACUUCUGUUAUUUUUUUUUUCUUUUUGUGUUCUUUCUUUUCCCCUAUUUCACGUGAGUUUUGGGUUUACAAUUGUUUUCUUUUUACUUGCUGGAUAUUCUUUGAAGGAUUGUGUUGUGAUAGGGUUUUGAAGAAAAUCUGAAGCAAUGUUUAAUGUUGGGUGCCUUUCAUUUUGAAUUUUCCCACUAAACUUACUUUCUCAACUUUAUUUUUAUUCUUUAACGAAAAUAUGAUGCACGCAUUACAAUAUAGUGUUAUGACAUUUAAUUUGGGGUUUAAAAAUAGUUAAUUUCAGUUUAAUUCUGUUUAUCUGUUAAGCUAAUUAAAUUGUAACAAAACGGUACGUCUAAUUAAAUUGUAACAAAACGGUACGUUUUGAGGGAGGGAAUUAGUUAAGUGAAACGGGGCGUUUUACUGUUCAGUUUUGUAACAAAUUGACAGCUAUAAUGACCGUUGUUCUUUUUCUUUUAAGCACCCUUGUGUGUGCUGAGUCUGUUAUGAAAAUACAGUACCAUUUUCUUAUCCUUUCUACCUUCUCUUUGUUAUUUCUCUUUCUUCCUUCUUCCUGCCAUUCUCUCUUCUCUCUUCUUCUUUUCUUCAGUAGCUCGCAUCAAGGUAUCAGAGCUUCUCUUUCCUCAUCGCCAAUGAAAGGGUAACCACCAGGCUUCAAAAAGAGAUGAGUCAACUGCAAUAAAAAUUCACUCAGUUAAAGUCAUAUCUGGACACUAAGAUUGAUGCUAAGUUUCAAUUUUUUCACGAUACUAUAAAAGGAGGAAUUUGAACCAAGAUUCGCACGAGUCUUCAAGCUUUAUUUGAGCAAUACAUGGGGUAGAUGACACCAACCAGUGCUAUUGGGUCUAAUAAGGUAGCUCCAGUGGAGAUGAGGCUGGAUAAGGGGAAAGGUAUCUUAAAAAGUGUCCCCACUGAAGCUCCAAGGAGGAACAGUUGCUACUAUUACCUUUAAGUGAAUCAAGACAAACGAGAACAUGGGUUUGAGGGUCUUCAAAAGAUAGAACUAGAAACUUGUAUAGGUUUAAAUGUCAGCAUUUUGAUGGCAGAGAUUUUUGUGGAUGAUGGUCAAAACUUGAGCAGUUUUUCUUAUCAGAAUGUGUCCGAGACGAGGCGAAGGUGAAUGUAGUCAUGCUACAUCUUGAAGGCAAGGCCCUAGACUAGUACCAUUUUUUUCCAACACCGUAGUGGGUUACAGCAACUGUCAUGGGAGGUUUAUGCUCGUGGACUGAGGACCGGUUUAGCUCAGAUACUCUCCUCGACCCUAUGUCUAAGCUCGUUACUCUGAAGCAACAAGGGUCCAUGACUCAAUUUCAUGACACAUUUGUAAGUUUUCUUAACCAAAUAGAUCUUAUUGGAGAACAUGCGAUUAGUGUGUUUGUUAGUAAUCUCAAACCAGAAAUUGGCCAAUACUUGCGUUUAUUUCCACCUUCCACGCUAAUAGAUGGAUUUCGGUUAGCUCAAAGAGUGGAGAGUAUUAUUUCAGAGCCUAUGAAAUGAACACUCUAUAGCGGGGGAGUUAGGGGAUCAAUUCGACCUCUCUUACCAAAUGUUCGACCCCUCUAAGCAGUUCCUGCUCUUAGCACCACAGGAGGUUCUAAAAGCCCUGUAAAGUCACUGUCUCAAGCUGAAAUAGAUGAUAGAAAAAGGAAGAGGCUUUGUUUCUGGUGUGCUUCCAAAUAUAUUCCAAGACACAAAUUCCAAAAAUCUCAAUUGUAUCAAUUAGUGGUUGAAGUUUCCUCUGAUGGGGAAGCUGAGCCAAAGAGUCCUGAAAUAGAUGAGUUCUAAGAUUGUAAGGAGCAAUUAGAACAAGGGGAGCAGGAACCAGAGGUAACUUCACUCGUACUAUCUUUGCAUGUAUUGCAUGGCUCCCAAGGACACAACACAAUUAGACUGUUAGCUCACAUCAGGCCAAUAGAAGUCAUUAUUCUUGUGGAUUCAAGGAGCACACACAAUUUCAUAGAUUUUAAGUUGGAGAAAUGGUUAAACUUAUCUACUGAGCAGACUACUGCAUUGAAAGCCAUGGUGGCCAAUGGAGUUUGGCUGUCUACUCAAGGAGUUUGCAAGAAUAUACAGUGGGAGGCUCAAGGAUCGACAUUUACCACUGAUUUUUACUUGCUUCCUCUAAAAGGGUGUUAUUUAGUAUCAAAAAUUCAGUGGCUCUUAUCUCUUAGAUCCAUCAUCUAAAAUUUUUCUUCCCUUACCAUGCAAUUCGAAUAUCGAGGUCAAAGUUAUAUCUUACAGGGUAUGGUUCCUGGUCUUCUUCAACUCUUGUUGGACAGUCAAGCUGCUAGAUGUUUCAUAGUCUUGAGCUUUAGUCCCCAGCCUAUGUUGUUCUUUUGUAGCCAACAAAUAAUGCUGACCUUGCCACCAUCUUCAGAACAUCCACUGUUACUCAAACUAUUAGCUGAUUUUGAUGAUGUCUUCUAAGUACCAUCAGGCUUACCUUCCACUCGACUUUAGGACCAUUGUAUCCCUUUGUUCACGAGUAGUCAAAGUGUGACCAUACAGGUACCCCACUAUCCAGGAGAAUGAGAUUGAAAUAUUUGUACAAGACAUGUUGUACGAGGGAAUUAUAAGGGACAACAAUAGUCCCUUUGCAUCACCUAUUGUAAUGGUCAAAAAGAAAUAUGGAAGCUAGCGUUUGUGCGUGAAUUAUAAGCAACUUAACAAUUUAACCAUCAAAGAUAAGUUUCUAAUCCCCAUUAUUGAGGAAUUACUAGAUGAACUUGGCCAAGUUCUCUUCUUUUCUAAACUAGAUUUGCGGUCAGGGUAUCAUCAAAUUCGGAUGUGUGAGAAAGAUGUUCACAAGACAAUGUUUCAAACUCAUGAGGGCCACUACGAAUUUUUGGUCAUGCCAUUUGGCCUCACAAAUGCCCCAUCCAGUUUUCAGGCAUUAAUGAACAUUGUCUUUAAGCCAGUUUUGAGGAAAUUUAUCCUAGUUUUUUAUGACAUCCUUGUUUAUUCAAAAGAUUGGGCUGACUACCUGAGGCAUUUGGAAGUAGUAUUGCAACUACUAUGAGAAAACAAACUCUAUUUAGCGCCCCAAAUCUUACAUUAUUAUUUUUGUAUGUUGUGUUGCAUAAAUGCAUGCUUGCUUCAGUGGUUUAGUGUCCUGAGAAGUGUUGGGGAAGUCCUGAGUUCAAGCGUUGGCUUGACCAAAAUUUUUGUUUUUAAUGGAAUUAAACUUGUCUCUAGUCGGUAGGCUUCUUAAAUAAAAAUGAUUAAAACAUGACAGAAAGGGCUUGCUGGUCUACGGGAUAAGUGGCGUGUUGUGAUGCUUAAAGGUCUUAAGUUCGAGUCCAGCCAUGUGUAAAGGAGUAUUUAUUUUGCUGCUCUUGCCGUGUGGGAAGUUGGGGUUGACCACAACACUGCUAGUUGAGUAGAGUUUGAAUGUGGUGGUUGAGGAGAUAAUUGUGGAGUGAUUUGAGGAGAAUUAUGUGGGAUUUAAAAGUGGUGGAGUUGUAGCCCAAUAGGUACUUUGACCACUCAGGAAAUUAGGCUGUGGGUAGGUUUUAGUACGCUAUUUCAGGUUUUGGGGGAACAUUUUUGGGUUCUUUUCUCUUCUCAUUUUCAGCUUCUAACAAGUGGUUUCGGGUUAUUUCACUAAUUUCCUUGGUAGCCGAAUUCUGCUAGGGGAUUUUGCUGGUAAUUUUCAUUUUGUCCAUUUUCGGUUUUGCUCUUCAAUUUCAAUGCCCUACUGACCAUUUGUGCUUUUCUCCCUCUACCUCUUAAGCAAUCACAUUUUUCCUUCUUGCCUUGUUGUUAGCCGAAUACCUCCCAUCUCUCUCUCAACUCUUUCGAUUUUGUUAGCCGAUUAUCUUCUCCUUUUCUUCCCUUGUUCUUAUAGACCGAUUGUUCUCAUUCUCUGUCUCUCUUAAUUGGUUAAUUCUUGACCGAUUUCCCCUUCCUUUUUUGCUCUCUCAAUUGGUUGUUUUUGACCGAAUUCUACCCAUUUCUUUUACCCUCACUGUGCCUAUCUUCUUCCACUGCUCUUUGUCAAUUUUGGGGGUAGUUACAAGUGCCUGGUUUGGUGUUUCGGUAAGACUAACUCUUGGUUUAGUUCAAACUAUGUUUUUGAUUAGGCGUUAACAAGAGGUUGUUUGAUUUACAGUUGUAACUGAGGGCUUGUGUCAUCGUCCUCUCUCGAUUGAUAAGGUGAAAAAGACUUCGAUUGUCCCAUCAAGGUAAGGGGGUUAACAAUUGGAUAAUUUCAGAGUAGUAUAAUAGUAUUAUUUUGAUGCUGACUUAUUACGUGUUUACCUAUGUUUAGUUGGUAUACAAGAGCUUGUCGAAGGAGAGGGAAAAGAUCAUCUGUUGGCGUUAGGGUGGACAGAUCCCCUCUCGUGGCUUGUUUAAAGGUACGUUAUUGUGUGGAUUCAACGAAUAAGUUAGUUGUGUGCAUCUGAUUGGGUGUUCGAUUAAGUGAGUGAUUGAAGAUCAUUGUUAAAUGUAGGGUUUAUAAGUGCGAGCAGUUUCUUCUCUCGACAAAUAGAAGCAAGGUGUGUAAAACACUACCUCUAUUCGUCAAUCAGCAAAAGUCAGAAUAAGUGACCGAUAACGCUACACGAGUGUGCCUUGCUCGUAUGGUAAACCGAACGCCUAGACAUGGGCGUAAGAUCUUUGAGGCCGACCAUGAGUGAUUUCAUGGGCCGAGUCUAAUUUAGGCCAUUUGGGCCGAAAUGGGCCGCGUAGGCCCCACACAGGUAAACCACAUGAAAGUGUGGAGAAUAUUGAGUCAGGCUGUGUAGUUCAUAUGGCCAAGGCCAUUUCUGGGCUAAGUGAGCCAUACGGGCGUGUAGGCCCACAUGGGCUCGUAUUAUAGGCCUUGGGCCUACUUUUACUGUUUGACUGUUAAUGUUGCACGGGUCGCUCGAGACGACUGUGGACCUACUGUUGGGUCGGUAAGUGCACCUAGACCCCAACUUGAUAAAUGACUGUUAUGCCCUUAUGUGGUAGAAUGACUAUUAUGCCCUUAUAAGAUGUAUGACUGAUUGAACAUGCCAUUUUAUAUAUGUUGCAUACAUGCAUGAUAUUAUGAUAUGUUGCAUGGGGAUGGGUUUAUUAUGAUUGGAGGAAGUGUACUGUACUGCCAGCUCUGCUGCAAAUACUGUUAGUGCCGUAACCGGUGCUAUUUUAGAGUGUAGGGAUGGGUGGGUUGAUUUUAUCCCCACAAGAAGUGUAGGGCUGGACGGAGUGGAGUGUAGAGGCUGGCUGGGUAAGAUUGCUGAUUGCAUAUCUGUACUUUUACUAUUACUGAAAUGGGCUAAGGCCAACACUGAUACUGAUACGGUAAUGGGCUAAUGCCCUAAUUGAAACUGAACUGUUACUAAUAUGGGCUUAAGUUCAGAUUGUAUUUGCCUACUGUAUGAUUGACUGUUUGCACUUAGGGAUUACACACUGAGUUUUCAUAAACUUACCCUACUACUUUUCUGCGCAAGUAAUCUCUAGGAGGACCGAUGCUACGAGGGACUCGAAAGUGGCCACACAACUGCAAUAGCUUACGCAUUCGACAUUUUAUUUACAAGUAAUUUAAUUUGGAUAUUUGUUAUGUAAUAAUGCCUCUUUAAUUUUUUUAACGCUUAAUUUGGGAUUUUAUAUAUGUUGAUUCAUAUCUGUUAGUAGUAGGAUGCGGGUUUUCAAAAAAUAAAUAUUUUUCAAAACACUACGUUUAAGCAACAUAUUUUAAAAGCUUCUGCAACAAACAAUGUUUUAAAAUGUAAUAACAAAUUAAUAUGGUUAACCCUUUACUAUACGACUUGAGUUUCAACAACGAACGAGACAUCCUAAAUUUUUGUUAAGAUCACAAAGAGGUUUAACAUAGAACGGGCUUUUCAACGGCAUUGUAUUUUUUUCGAAAAAUACUUCAAUGUGGCAUCGCUAGAUUCGACCAUAACGUAUAGGCCGGGUUUGGGGUGUUACACUCUAUGCCAAGAAAAACAAAUGUAGCUUUGCCAUUGCUCAGGUUGAAUAUCUAGGACAUGUUAUAACAGUAGGGACUGUCAGCAUGGAUUCCUCGAGGGUUGUAGGAGUUCUUUCCAGGCCCAUACUUCAAAACAUUAAGGAACUUAGAGGAUUUUUGGAGUUAUCGGGGUACUAUAGGCGGUUCAUUCGAAGGCCCAACCUCUCACUUCACUUUUAAAAAAGUACCAACAAUGACAUUGGACAAACUCUUCCCAAAUAGCUUUUCAAGCUCUUAAAGACGCUAUUUACACUGCACUAGUUGUAGUUCUUCCAAAUUUUGGUGAACCCUUUUGUGUAAAGACCGAUGCCUCUGGUACUGGCGUUAGAGCUGUGUUACAACAAUGAGGGAAACCAAUGGCGUUUUUUAAUAGGUCCUUAGGCAUUAAACACCAAGCAUUGUCUAUAUAUGAUAAGGAGAUGUUGGUUGUGUUGCUCGCUGUUAAGAAAUGGCACUCGUAUCUUUUUGGGAAAUCCUUUGUCAUCAAAACAGACCACCAAAGUUUGAAGUUUUUAUCUGAAAAAUAGGCCAUUAUUCCAUAUCAACAAAAGUGGGUGUCUAAAAUGCUGGUGAUUGAUUAUUCCAUUGUUUAUCGAAGGGGAUCUCAGAAUAUUGUGGCUGAUGCUUUAUCCAGAAGGACUCAACUGCCAAAGGGUCAAUUCCAUCAGUGUUUGGGAACAGUGUCACUUACGUGGUUUGAACUUUGGGACAAAAUUCUCCAAGCUACAAUUGAAGAUGUCAAGCUACAGCAGUUGUCCAACGACUUGUCAGAAAAACCCCAACACCAUCCCAAGUAUACAUUGGAUGGCUUAUUUAUUAAGAGAAAAGGGAAGGUUGUAAUUGGCCACAACAUAGAACUAAGGAAAGCAAUUUUCGAGCUAUUCCAUAAUAAAGCUAUUGGUGGCCAUUCAAGAGUGCAUGCUACUAGGCAUCGCAUAAGUAGCUUCUUGUACUGGAAAGAGUUAUCGAGAGAUGUCAAGCAGUGGGUUCAAGAAUGCACCACUUGCCAACAGUACAAGCAUGACAAUGCUGCAUAUCCUGGAUUAUUGCAACCAUUGCCAAUACCUGAUCGAGCAUAGGUUGCUGUCAGUAUGGACUUUAUAGAAUACCUUUGUUUGUCUAAAGGUAAAAGUACUAUCUUGGUAACAGUUGAUAGACUAACCAAGCAUGCCCAUUUCCUAGCCUUGGCACACCCUUUUACUAUUGCGAGUGUUGCUCAACUUUACUUAGACCAGAUGUAUAAGCUUUAGGGCAUUCCUGAAUCCAUUGUAUCUGACAAAGAUCGGAUCUUUCUUAGUAGAUUUGGGCAAGAACUCUUCAAAUUACUUGGCACUCGAUUGUACCUAUCCACAGCCUAUCAUCCACAAACAGAUGGGCAAACAGAAGUCCUCAAAUAGGUGUCUUGAAGGUUAGUUGCACUGUAUGACUGGUGAGAAACCCUCUGAAUAGGUUUAUUGGCUACCUUUAGCUGAAUGGUGGUACAACACGACUCACCACUCAGCUAUCAACACCACUCCAUACAUGGCCCUCUAUGGUCAGGAACCCCCCAACCAUUUACCAUAUUUACCAGGAUCUUUGAUGGUAGCCAAGGUGGACAAAACACUUCAGCAUCAAGAAGCCUUAAGGAAGCUCCUUCGGUUUCACUUGAAAAGAUCUCAAGAGCGUAUGAAACAAUUCGCUGAUAAAAAAAGAUUAGAUCGAUCAUUCGCAAUUGGGGACCUUGUAUAUCUGAAGCUACAAACUUACAAACAGCAUUCGCUGAAGAAGAUGCGCAAUCUGAAGUUGUCCCCUAGGUUUUAUAGCCCCUACCCUAUUGAAGCCAAAGUUGGUCAGGUGGCUUACAGAUUGAAGUUACCUGAGGGAGCAAAAAUCCAUUCCACAUUCCACGUGUCCCAGUUAAAGAAACAUAUUGGCUCAGCUGUUUAUUCACCAGCAUUGCCACCUGUUGGAACAGAUGGCUCAAUUCUGAAAGAACCAGCACGCAUCAUUGAUAAGCGGAUGAUCAAAAAGAGAAAUUAUGCGGUUAUUAAGGUGUUGGUGGAGUGGGCAGACACUUUUUUGGAAGACUCAACUUGGGAAGUUUAGUUAGAAUUCCAGAAGCAGUGUCCUACCUUCGAUCAUUGAGGACAAGGAUCUGCUUAAGAGAGAGAGUAUUGUAACACCCCUAUACCAUGUUCGACUCAAGGAACCUGAUAUAGUAUUAUUACAUUUGGUGCCAAAGUAAUUCUUGGCUAAUCACUAAUAUAUUAGAACAUAAAAAUAGACACUUGGAACAUACUUAGUAUUUUUCCUAAGUACAUGCCAUUCUAUUCAAAAUUUUAAAACAUACCUUGUUGUUGCUUGAAGAUGUGAUGAGAUGAAAGCCUGCAAUCUCAAAAUUCAACUCUUCAAAAAUUCAUGUACCUAAUCUGCGCAUGGAAACAAACCGUACGCUGAGUAUACAUCCAGUGGUAUAACUAUAAUUCAAAUACUUAAGGUAAAACAAUAUAUAUACACAUUAAAUCUUACCACUAUUUUACUUUUAAUAAAUUAUUCAUGCAUUUAAACUUUAAAUUUUCUUAGUAAUAUGUAUCUUAAAUAACUUUUCUUCAUUUUAAUUUAUAUAUCUUCUUACUACAUCAAUAUCCAUUUUAUGCAUUUCAUCAAUAACCAUUUCAUAAAUUAUUAUUUCAUAAAUUUCAUUUCUAUAUCUCAAUUUAAUAACUUAUUCUCAAGAUAAUAUUAAUUUCUAUUCAUAAUCAAUCAAUAACAAUCAAUUGUUCAGUAUAAUCAUUCUGUAGUCAUCAAUUAUUCAGUAACAUUAGUCUUUCAAUAAUUAUUUAAACCAACAUUUUUCAAUAAUAAUAAUAAUAAUAAAUUCAUAUGAUUAUAUUCAAUUAACUCAUAAACUAUUUCAUUAUUUCCUAUUCAUUCUAUUUUCACUUCUUAUUUCGAUAUCUCAAUUUCAAUUCAUAAUUUCAUUUUCUCAUACUUUCAAUAGUUCAAUCGAUCAAAUUCAUUCGAUUUUCUCAUUUCAUUUAUUCAACUGAUUUCAAUAUCGAUAAUUCGAUAUUUAACAAUUUCAUGAACCUUAAGUUCAUGCUUCAAAUUUCAUGUCUCAAUUCAAUUCACAAUUCAACUCAUAAUUUCUUUAUCAUAUUUUUAAUAAUAUGAUUAAUCAAAUUUAUUUAAUUUUCUCAUUUCAGUUAUUUACCCUAUUAACAAACUCGGACCUUGGCGGAUACACGGAUUCAACCAACACACCAGUACAGCACUCAACACCUCAUCGGCUUUGCCGAAGUAAAUAGUAACAGUACAGUACUCAGUACCUCAUCGGAUUAAACCAAAGUAAUAGUAAUAGUACGACACACAAGGUGCCUCGUCGACUUAAAGUCUAAGUAACAGUACGAAACUUGUAGUGCCUUAUCGACUCAAGGUCGAAGUAUCCCUGAACACUUCCAAUCCUAUGGCAUGCCAACUAUAUCCGACUCAGCCCGACUAGUUAAUAGGGUAUUCAAUUUAUUUUUCUAUUUCGAAUUCACUUUAAAUUCAAUCACAAUUCAAUUCAAAUUCACUUUUUCACUUUCUAAUCAAUAUACAAUUCAAUACCAAUACAUAUUUCAGAUAAGCACAUAUAAUCAUACUUUGAUUCAAUUGAAUCCACUUUUCAAUCAAUACACAAUUUACAUAUUCACCAUAUUCAUAAUUUAAUUUACUUUUAUUCAAUUCAUAUUUUGGAUUCAUUUUCCAAUCAAGUUCCAAUCACUAAUCACUUUUCAAUUAAUAUACAUUUCAAAUAAUCAUAUAUUUUCUUCAUUCAAUUCAUUUUGAUUCAAUUCAAAUCACUUUUAAUUUCAAAUUUGUUCACAUUUAAUUUCAAUAGCCAUAAACACUUUUAAAUCAAUUUCAUUCAAAUCAAUAUCAUUAUUUCAAUUACUUUCCUAAAUUUAUCUACCAUGCAUUUUAAUUAAAAUAUAACAAUUAAUAAUAAAUAGAUUUGAAUUAUAGUAAUACAAAUCCGGAUUUAUUCGAUUACUCCUCGACAACUUUUUUCUUUCCUUUCGAUGCCGAUGCCUCGGGUUCCUUGUUAGCUGCGAAAAUUAAAAUUAUUAUACCAUUAAUUACAGCACUAAUUAUAACAAAUAAUUAAAUUUCUAUUCAAUUUACACCUUAUUUUCAAUUAGGUCCUAAUUAACUCAUUCACUUUACUAACUUAAUUCUUACUUCAUUCUUAUUCAAAUUCCUAUCAAAUUCAAUCUAACUAUCAAGUAUUCAUAAUAAAACCCUAAUUUAAAAUUUCUUUCAAUUUAAUCCUUCAAUCACAAAACUUAUAGCUGCUUUUACAAUUUAAUCCCUUUAUCACUUCUAACUUGAAAUUCAUUCUAAACCUCUAAUUCAUAUUUUUGUUCAACAUGAACUAUAUUUGAAAACCUACGAACUUCCAAAAUAUUAACUUAAUUUCAUCAAAACCUUGUUUUAAAACUUCAAAAAUAUCAAAAUUAAGUAAAAAGGACUUAAUUGACUUACCUUUUAAAGCUUAAAGCUUCAAAUCCCUAGUUUUUCCUUUUUCUUUUCUUUUUCUCCUUUCUUUCUUUCUUUCCCGUUUGCUAUUCUUUUCUUUAUUUUCCUUCCCUUUUUAUUUACUUUAAAUUUUUUAUAUAUAUAUUAUAAUAAUUACUAUAAUAAAUAUCUAUUUAAUAACAAAUAUUUAUAUUACAUUUGUACACACAUAUAUUUUACACUUGUCUAUCAUCAUCACCAUCCAAUUGUCCUUAUUUUGUUUAUUUUAUUAUAUAAAAAUCUUAUAAUAUAAUUUUUUUAAAUUAAUUUAACAUAAUUUAUAUCUAAAUAAUUAAUUAUAUAAUUAAAAUAUAACAUAAAAAUCUUAGAUUUCAUUUCUUGUUAAUGGCUUAAUUGACAUUUUAAUCCUUUUUAUUUUCUUUUAAUCUAUAAUUCAACUUUUACCCUUUAUUCAUUUUAGUCAUUUUUCCUAAUUACUCUUAAUUAAGCUAAAUUCACCUAAUUAGAACCUAAUUAGGUACACCACUAGUUUCAUAAAUGUUUCUAAUAAUUAUUUACGAACUCAUUUCACUAAAACGGAAGCUUAAUAUUGCAUUUUUCCGAUGCCGUGAAUUUUAGGUCAUUACAAGUAUUGUUAUGGCUUUUAAUUUUGGGGGUUAAAAGUAGCUAAUUUCUGUUUAAUUAUGUUUAUUUGUUAAGCUAAUUAAAUUGUAACAAAACGGCACGUUUUGAAGGAGGGAAUUAGUUAAGUGAAACAGGGUGUUUUGCUAUUCAAUUUUGUAACAAAUUGACAGCUGUAAUGACCAUUGUUCUUUUUCUUUUAAGCACCCUCGUGUGUGCUGAAUCUGUUAUGAAAAUACAGUACCAUUUUCUCAUCCUUUCUACCUUCUCUCUGUUAUUUCUCUUUCUUCCUUCUUCCUCCCAUUCUCUCUUCUCUCUUCUUCUCUUCUUCAACAGCUCGCAUCAUAUAGCAGCUAUGGCAGAGGGGCUGCUAAUUUGAACGUAAAAAUCUACUUCUUCAUCUACUUUGCUUUCUUUUAUAUUUCUUUCUUAGUUUUUUGUCAUAUAUUAAUUUUUUGGUUCGUCUCUGUUUACAGCUUAUGUUCAUCGAGUGCUUAUAUUCAGGGCAGAGGCGGAUAAAGGGAGGCUGGCAGGGGCCCUGACUCCCCUUAAAAUGGAAAUUUUUAAUUUAAGCCCUUGAAAUUUUUUUAAAAUUUUAAAUUGCUAAAGUUAAAAUUGCACUUUGGCUCCCCUAAAAUUAUAAAGAUUCGAUUUAAUUUUUUAAAAAUUAUAAAGAUUCGAUUUAAUUUUUUAAAAAUUAUAAAGAUAUAGGCUAUAAAAAAUUAAAAUUUUAUUCGGCCCCCUAAAAAUUUGUUCUGGCUUCGGGCUAGCAGGGCUCGGCUUUCUUAAAGUGAAAUUUGUUUUUAUUUUGAUAUUUUUAAAAUAUUUAAAAUUUUAAAUUAGUAAAGAUAAAAUUAUAUUUAGGCCUCUUGAAAAUGAAAUAAAAUUAUAUUUAGGCCUCUUGAAAAUGAAUUUUUUUAUUUAAUCUUUUAAAAAUUAUAUUUUUACAAUCGUAAAAAUUACAAUUUAAUUUCGACCCCUAAAAUAUUUUUCUGACUUCACCCAACUUAUGUUAAUCACGAGAUAAUGAUUUGCUCUUCGAUUUUUUUUUUUAAAUCUGAAGAAAUCUGAGACUAAGACGUUAAUACUUGACAGCGAAGUUAACUAUUUUAUUCGCAGCAGUUUGAUAUAAACUUAGAAAUAAUAGUGGGUUAAUAUACAAUUCAAUACCUGAGUUGGGUUACUUUUUUCAAUUUGAUACUUGAGUUUCUUUUUUUUCCUAAUUUGGUUCUUGAGUUUGGUUCAUGGUUCACUUUGGUACUUGAAUUUGGCUUCAAUGUUCAAUUUGGCACCUAGAUCUAAAGGUUCAAGUGCUAAAUUAAACAUUAAAGCUAAACAUAGAUACCAAAUGGCAUAUUAACCACCCGAAAAAUAAUUGCACUUAUGUCAUAAUGGCUGCCAACUUUUGUGCCUAUUGCAGCAUGUUGAAGUACCAAUCCCAACUCCAAAUCAAGGUGAAGUUUUGGUUAAAUUGGAGGCAAUUAGUCUAAAUCCAAUUGACUGGAAAAUGCAGAAAGGGAUAUGGUGCCCAUUUUCACCAAAAUAUUUCCCCUACAUACCUGUUACUUUAUAUAUAUUUUACUCUUUUCAUCUGUUUUGGUCUUGAAAUAUUCUUGUGACUCUUUUUCUUCUGUUAACCAAGGUUAUUGUUAAAAGGACAGAUUUUGUCCAUUUGAGGAUAAUCCCUUUGGUUUAUUAACCAACAAGAUAAUAUACUGGUUGACAGAUCUCUUAGUUUAACUGGUUGAGGUUAUCUUUGUUAGUAAAUAUUGCACCAAAUUGAUGAAUCAUAAAUAUGAGUUAAAUAGUUUGAUUUUUCACUGUGUAUAGCACAUCCCGGAAUUUAGCAAGUUUUUCCAUCAUAAAACGGGAGUAGGAAUAAAAAAUACUCGACAAUCUCAAAAGAAUGGAAAGAACGAGUGCAAGGGGAAUGAUAAAAUUUGUUAACGUGUGUAAAUUGUGAAAGCGACCCAGGGUAUUAUAGGACUUCAACCAGCUAAAAAUGGCAAAAAUUGGUGGAGUAAAAAGUGGAUUUGAUUUAACCAAGAAUAAUUUAAAAAUGAUUCAAUGAAUGUAGGCGAAUGGAGAGGAGGAGCGAGAGGAGAACUGGAGAAGGAUAGAUUUAUAUUACGAAAGUGAACAGAGUAUUCAUAAGAUUUCAACUAGUUAAAAAUAGCAAAGAUAAGUUGAGUAAAAGGGAAAUUUGAGUAGCCAAAAUUAGUUUAAAAAUAGUUAAUGAUUCAUGGAAUUUAGACUUAGCACAACAUACAACAUGUAGGGAGAAAACUACCAAUUUAAAAUAUAUUGACUUUUUGGACCUAAUUUUCGUACAUGCAUAUUCAUCCUCUCAACUUGGUUUGUAUUAGUCUAAACGUGGGAUUCGGACGUUCUUUUAAAAUUUCACAGUUUUUCAAACAAGGUAAAUUUAUGGCAUACAUGAAAGAUUGCUAUCUCAAAAGAAAAAUUGGCUAGCAAUAUAUACCAUUUAAAGUUAAGUAAUAUUAAAAGAAUCUAACUUUAAAUCAUCAGUAAGUAAUGCAGUUUUCUUUGUUGAUAUUGGGAUUGCCCCUUUUUAAUCAUUAGCUAAAGAACAAUAUGUUCAUUUCUUCUUGUGCAGCUACUGAUGUAGCCGGAGAAGUCAUAAAGGUCGGACCGAGAGUUACAAAUUACAAAACCGGGGACAAAGUUGUAGCUAUGCUUAAUCAUCCUGUAAGUGUUCAUUCUUGUUCUUCUUCCUUUUGCUAUGGCUAUGUUAUGAUUAUAUUCGCAAUCAUAGACUGGAGGCGGACUAGCUGAAUAUGCAGUGGCUAAGGACAACUUGAUAGUUUUAAGGCCACCGGAAGUAUCAGCAGCCGAAGGUGAAAGUUUGCCCGUUGCCGGUCUUGCAGCUCUCCAGGCAGUUACUGAGUCAGCCGGGGUCAAGCUCGACGGAACUGGCCGGCAUGUAAACCUCUUGAUUACUGCUGCUUCAGGUGGUGUAGGUCAAUAUGCAGUUCAACUAGCAAAGCUUGGAAACACACAUGUGACAGCCACUUGUGGUGCUCAUAACUUGGAUUUAGUCAAGAGCCUCGGAGCAGAUGAGGUUCUUGACUAC
rnacentral:lncRNA from 1 species